rnacentral:rRNA from 1 species
CCUACGGGUGGCAGCAGUGGGGAAUAUUGCGCAAUGGGCGAAAGCCUGACGCAGCGACGCCGCGUGAGGGAUGAAGGUCUUCGGAUCGUAAACCUCUGUCAGCAGGGAAGAACGGUCACGGGGCUAAUCAGCAGUGAAUUGACGGUACAGGCAAAGGAAGCACCGGCUAACUCCGUGCCAGCAGCCGCGGGAAUCCGGAGGGUGCGAGCGUUAAGCGGAAUUACGGGGCGUAAAGCGCUCGUAGGCGGUAUUUCAAGUCAAGGGUGAAAUCCCCGCGCGCAACGUGGGAACUGCCUUUGAAACUGGCAACCUGGAGUGUGUGCGAGGCUAGUGGACUUCCAGGUGUAGGCG